rnacentral:rRNA from 1 species
UGAGGAAUAUUGGUCAAUGGACGCAAGUCUGAACCAGCCAAGUAGCGUGCAGGAUGACGGCCCUAUGGGUUGUAAACUGCUUUUAUAUGGGGAUAAAGUGGGGAACGUGUUCCCUUUUGCAGGUACCAUAUGAAUAAGGACCGGCUAAUUCCGUGCCAGCAGCCGCGGUAAUACGGAAGGUUCGGGCGUUAUCCGGAUUUAUUGGGUUUAAAGGGAGCGUAGGCGGUUUGGUAAGCGUGUUGUGAAAUGUAGGAGCUCAACUUCUAGAUUGCAGCGCGAACUGUCAGACUUGAGUGCGCACAACGUAGGCGGAAUUCAUGGUGUAGCGGUGAAAUGCUUAGAUAUCAUGAAGAACGCCGAUUGCGAAGGCAGCUUACGGGAGCGCAACUGACGCUGAAGCUCGAAGGUGCGGGUAUCGAACAGG